rnacentral:rRNA from 1 species
GACGAACGCUGGCGGCGUGCCUAAUACAUGCAAGUUGAGCGCUGAAGGUUGGUACUUGUACCGACUGGAUGAGCAGCGAACGGGUGAGUAACGCGUGGGGAAUCUGCCUUUGAGCGGGGGACAACAUUUGGAAACGAAUGCUAAUACCGCAUAAAAACUUUAAACACAAGUUUUAAGUUUGAAAGAUGCAAUUGCAUCACUCAAAGAUGAUCCCGCGUUGUAUUAGCUAGUUGGUGAGGUAAAGGCUCACCAAGGCGAUGAUACAUAGCCGACCUGAGAGGGUGAGCGGCCACAUUGGGACUGAGACACGGCCCAAACUCCUACGGGAGGCAGCAGUAGGGAAUCUUCGGCAAUUGACGAAAGUCUGACCGAGCAACGCCGCGUGAGUGAAGAAGGUUUUCGGAUCGUAAAACUCUGUUGGUAGAGAAGAACGUUGGUGAGAGUGGAAAGCUCAUCAAGUGACGGUAACUACCCAGAAAGGGACGGCUAACUACGUG